rnacentral:tRNA from 1 species
GGCAUAGCUCAGCAGGUAGAGCAACUGACUUGUAAUCAGUAGGUCGUGGGUUCGAAGCCUACUGCCA